rnacentral:misc_RNA from 1 species
AUAUAUAUAUAUAUAUAUAGCCUUACAUAUGUGCCAAUGCUACUAAAGUGUUUGAAAUGAAAAGAAAAUUAUGGAAUGGUAAAUUGAAGGGAUAAAAAAUGGUAAGAAGGCGAAAGGUAAAGCCGAAGGAGUAGUAUUGUGGUAGAAAAAUUUUUAUAUUUAAAAAUAAAGAAUGAAUGGAAAGAUAAUAUAUAUAUAUAUAAUAUUUGGAAUGAGGUGGAGGAGGGUAUAUUUAAGAUCUCAUCCCUCUUAUUUUAUUUGGCAAGGUACCUGUGCUCUCUCGCCUGCGCUCUGUCCUCUGUGAUUGACGAAUCGUACCUCAGGUAAUUUCUAGCUGUACAUAGCAGCCUUGCAGUUCCUUUAAUUACUUUUACGUUUAUCUUUGCCGUUGAUGCUUACUUGUUCAGCUAUUUGUUCCCAACAAAGGGCUAAAUGGCUUCUUCUUCUUCUUCUAAAGAAACCCAUAAUGCGCCUGAUACUCCAGCCUCGUAAGCCUUGACUCCUCUUUGCUUCGUUUCUUUCCCUUAACAUUCCUUCAUUUGAAUUAAUUAUUCAUUUAAUUAAUGAGUGCAAUUCCUUUUUCUUCAUCGACUUAAUCAAGUUCUAAUUUGGGCUCAUAUGACUCUUUAGUUGCUUUAACUUAGUUAACAGAGCUUUUGAGCAAUUUCAUUGUUUAGGGUUUAUUUCUCUUGAUUGCGUUUCUAUAGAAUCAAUUAUUUGCUUUUCUUUUUCCUUGUUUAUCGCUCUAAUUUUUGCUCCUUUUUUUUUCAUACACUUGGGGGUUAAUUAUUUUUAGGCCAAAGAGCAUCUACAAGGAUCCAGAUGAUGGGCGACAACGGUUUUUGCUUGAGUUAGAAUUUAUUCAGUGUCUAGCCAAUCCUACUUAUAUCCAUUAUUUGGCUCAGAAUCGCUAUUUUGAAGAUGAAGCAUUUAUUGCCUACUUGAAAUACCUUCAGUACUGGCAACGACCUGAGUACAUGAAAUUUAUAAUGUAUCCUCAUUGCCUAUUUUUUCUUGAAUUGCUGCAAAAUGCAAACUUCCGCGACGCAAUGGCACAUCCUGGCAACAAGGAGUUGGCACAUAGGCAGCAAUUCUUUUUCUGGAAGAACUAUAGAAACAACCGAUUGAAGCACAUUUUACCAAGACCACUACCUGAACCUGCUCCUGCACCUGCACCCCCUGCUGCUGCUCCACCUCCACCUUCCAUGCAGCCAGUACCACCUGUGCCUCCAACAACCAUUGCUAUGCCAGCUGCUCCUGCCUCAGCACUUUCUCCCAUGCCAUAUGGCAUGCCUCCUGGAUCUGCUCUUGCAAAAAAUGAUAUGCGGAACACUGGAAUUGAUCGAAGAAAAAGAAAGAAAGAAGUUUGACCUGAACUAUCAACUAUUUCGACAGCAGUGGAGCAAAUAGAUAUGCUGAGAUAGCUAUACUUAUUCACUUGUUUUAUGAGGCUGAUGGUGUGUGAAGAUUCUAAAUCAUGAUUAUUCAUAUCUCACUUGAAUGAUUUAGCCCAUGCAAAAUAAUCAGCUCUGAAGUUUUAGAUGGGGCCAGGAUCAAUCUACUAUGGCUGCCCUUUUUAUUGCUGGUUUCUCACUGCAAUAGAUGUAACAAUUGCAACUUCAUUGUUUUCAAAUUCUCUGCAAUGAAUCUAUUGCGUUGUAGAACUUCAUGAUUCAGUAUCACCUGAGCCAAUGAAAGCUGGAUAGAAAGCUGAAAGUCUUGAAUAAUAUUCCAAUAAGUAGACUUUGCUGGUAAGGAUGUUAGAGAUUUCAUCGAAGAGUUAGCUAGAUGGAAAAUCUGUAUGUAUGUUCUUGGCAUGAUUCAUAUGGUUUAAACCCAACACUUUUCUUUACUCAUUUGCAAGGA